rnacentral:rRNA from 1 species
GAUGAACGCUGGCGGCGUGCUUAACACAUGCAAGUCGAACGGAGUGCUCAUGACGGAGGAUUCGUCCAACGGAUUGAGUUACUUAGUGGCGGACGGGUGAGUAACGCGUGAGGAACCUGCCUCGGAGUGGGGAAUAACAGCCCGAAAGGGUUGCUAAUACCGCAUGAUGCAUGACCGGGGCAUCCCGGACAUGCCAAAGAUUUAUCGCUGAAAGAUGGCCUCGCGUCUGAUUAGCUAGUUGGUGAGGUAACGGCCCACCAAGGCGACGAUUGGUAGCCGGACUGAGAGGUUGAACGGCCACAUUGGGACUGAGACACGGCCCAG